rnacentral:lncRNA from 1 species
UUUAGAUCGAAGCGAUUCGAUGAAAUUUUAUAGCAGUUAUCUACCUUUACAAAAUAAAUUUGUCGGUAUGUUUUUUUAACUCAUAAACCGUUAACUGUAUAACCCUGGAAUGUUUUAAUUUGAGUCCCCUAGGUCCUAACUUAGAAAAUGAGGUCAAGGUCAAAGGUCAAGGUCAAGUUCUCAAUUGUGACUUUUGCUUGUUUUUGCAUUUUCUCUGACACUUUGAAAGAUACUUAUAAAAGAACAAGUGC